rnacentral:rRNA from 1 species
CAGCAGCCGCGGGAAUACGUAGGUCCCGAGCGUUAUCCGGAUUUAUUGGGCGUAAAGCGCGUCUAGGUGGUUAUAUAAGUCUGAUGUGAAAAUGCAGGGCUCAACUCUGUAUUGCGUUGGAAACUGUAUAACUAGAGUACUGGAGAGGUAAGCGGAACUACAAGUGUAGAGGUGAGAUUCGUAGAUAUUUGUAGGAAUGCCGAUGGGGAAGCCAGCUUACUGGACAGAUACUGACGCUGAAGCGCGAAAGCGUGGGUAGCAAACAGGAUUAGAUACCCGAGUAGUCCCUGUCUCUUAUACA